AGUCGAGGGGUAACAGAAAAGCUUGCUUUUGCUGACGACCGGCGCACGGGUGCGUAACGCGUAUGCAACCUACCUCAUACUGGAGGAUAGCCCCUGGAAACGGGGAUUAAUACUCCAUAGUAUCACAAUUUCGCAUGUUAUUGUGAUUAAAGUUUUUCGGUAUGAGAUGGGCAUGCGUCCCAUUAGCUUGUUGGUGAGGUAACGGCUCACCAAGGCAACGAUGGGUAGGGGGCCUGAGAGGGUGGUCCCCCACACUGGUACUGAGACACGGACCAGACUCCUACGGGAGGCAGCAGUGAGGAAUAUUGGUCAAUGGAGGAAACUCUGAACCAGCCAUGCCGCGUGAAGGAUGACGGCCCUAUGGGUUGUAAACUUCUUUUAUAGAGGAAGAAACUUGUCUACGUGUAGACAACUGACGGUACUCUACGAAUAAGGAUCGGCUAACUCCGUGCCAGCAGCCGCGGUAAUACGGAGGAUCCAAGCGUUAUCCGGAUUCAUUGGGUUUAAAGGGUCCGUAGGCGGAUUUUUAAGUCAGUGGUGAAAGCCGACAGCUCAACUGUCGAACUGCCAUUGAUACUGGAAAUCUUGAGUACAAAUGAAGUAGGCGGAAUGAGUCAUGUAGCGGUGAAGUGCAUAGAUAUGACUCAGAACACCGAUUGCGAAGGCAGCUUACUAACAUGUAACUGACGCUGAGGGACGAAAGCGUGGGGAGCGAACAGGAUUAGAUACCCUGGUAGUCCACGCCGUAAACGAUCAUCACUCGCUGUUGGCGAUAUACUGUCAGCGGCCAAGCGAAAGUAUUAAGUGAUGCACCUGGGGAGUAC
rnacentral:rRNA from 1 species